rnacentral:SRP_RNA from 1 species
GUCCAGUGUGGUGGUGCACGCCUGUAGUCCCAGCUACACAGGAAGCUGAGAUAGUAGCAUCGCUCGCGAGUCCAGGAGUUCUGGGCUGUAGUGCGCUAUGCCAAUCGGGUGUCCACACUAAGUUCGGCAUCAAUAUGGUGACCUCCCUGGAGUGGGGGACCACCAGGUUGCCUAAGGAGGGAUGAACUGGUCCAGGUCGGAAACGGAGCAGGUCUAUACUUCUGUGUUGUCAAGUUCUUAAAGGGUCGAUCUUCUAUUUCAGAGUUUCUUGGUCUUGCAUGAUUUUUAUUGACUGUGAUGCACUGUCCU